UUCUCGCUCAAAGAAUCGCAUUCGAAGCACACAAACAGAGAGAUUCUUGGGUCUCUCAGCUAGCAAUAGCUACUGUUGCUUUGGGAGAAAGUCCCCGGACACCCUUCCUUUUGGAAGGAUUGUGGAAACACGCCGCCAUAGAAGCACAUUGCGGCUUCUCCAGCACCAAUUCCUCUUCGUUUCCUCCACCCUCUCGCCGUUCGUACUACCUUCUCGUCGAUCUCAGGACCACUGUUCUUAGCUAAGGAGACCACAUGGAUGAAGAUAUGAGUCCGAGCUCCUUUGCGACGUUCUUUGGGAAUGGGUGAGAUGGGAUUGUGGGAGGUGUGUUGGACUGUUCUUGGGUCGGGGAGGAUGUUCUAGUCGCUGGAGGCAUUUUCGUCGAGAAUGAUAGUUAUGCGAUUGCCCUCUUCUGCUUUGCAAAUUGUGGAAAGGGUAACUCGAUGGGGCUUAUUCUUGAUGCGAGA
rnacentral:RNase_MRP_RNA from 1 species